GACGAACGCUGGCGGCGUGCUUAACACAUGCAAGUCGAACGGAAAGGCCCUGCUUUUGUGGGGUGCUCGAGUGGCGAACGGGUGAGUAACACGUGAGUAACCUGCCCUUGACUUUGGGAUAACUUCAGGAAACUGGGGCUAAUACCGGAUAGGAGCUCCUGCUGCAUGGUGGGGGUUGGAAAGUUUCGGCGGUUGGGGAUGGACUCGCGGCUUAUCAGCCUGUUGGUGGGGUAGUGGCUUACCAAGGCCUUGACGGGUAGCCGGCCUGAGAGGGUGACCGGCCACAUUGGGACUGAGAUACGGCCCAGACUCCUACGGGAGGCAGCAGUGGGGAAUAUUGCACAAUGGGCGGAAGCCUGAUGCAGCAACGCCGCGUGCGGGAUGACGGCCUUCGGGUUGUAAACCGCUUUCGCCUGUGACGAAGCGUGAGUGACGGUAAUGGGUAAAGAAGCACCGGCUAACUACGUG
rnacentral:rRNA from 1 species